UACAGAGGUCCCAAGCGUUGUUCGGAUUCAUUGGGCGUAAAGGGUGCGUAGGCGGCGCGGUAAGUCGGGUGUGAAAUCUCGGGGCUUAACUCCGAAACUGCAUUCGAUACUGCCGUGCUUGAGGACUGGAGAGGAGACUGGAAUUUACGGUGUAGCGGUGAAAUGCGUAGAUAUCGGAAGGAACACCGGUGGCGAAAGCGGCGCGCUGGACCUCUUCUGACGCUGAGGCGCGAAAGCCAGGGGAGCAAACGGG
rnacentral:rRNA from 1 species